rnacentral:lncRNA from 1 species
GAUACCCAGAGGCAUGGACAGACUCCAGAAGAGACCAACUGGAAAAAUGAGUGUCAGCAAUGGUACCCUGGUGUUGGGAGGCUUACAAACGGUCCCCCCUUUCCCUAUAUGAGCUACACACCACCCUCCUAAGAGUGAGUACCCAUCCUCUGGCUGUAUUCUCUCUCCUUGAACGCCAAUCAGAGUGAAAGUUUACCUACAGCCCACGUGGGGUGGGAAUUCAGUCGGCAAACACAACAAACCUUGGCUCUAUCCACAGGACAGGUGGCAGGUGAAGGACCGGGAGUUGGGCCCCUGGAAACCACUGAUCUUUUUACAGUGCUCACAGCUUUGUCCCCUCUAGGAUACUAUGACAUGUUAUGUUAUGAAGUUUGAAUCGUGCAGCACAUAAGCAUUCCAGAUUUGUCGCCUGCACUUACGAGUGUGUCAUAAGGAGUUGUCCACGUCUCUUCAUGAUGGCUCUAGAGACUGGCAGGAGGUUUUGGAAGUAGUUGAUUGAUGCCUCGGCCCAUUUGUGAACUCUUCUUCAGAUGGCCUGCAGGUUCCAUUUAAGUCUCUCACAAGAGAGUCAACUUAAAUCCACGGAGAUAGGCAUAAUUGGCCCUAGUCUACAGACUGUGCAUACGGCAUUGGUGAAGACGGAGCUUCCUGCUUAAGGCCACAGUCACCAAGUGGCGGAGAUUAACCCUGGCUCCUGCUGGCUCCAGCCUGUGCUAACCACAGUACUGAUGUCUCUGACUUCCCACAAAUGGGUCAGUUAUUGCUUCUAUGAUGGUUUGAAUUGCAGGCAUCAGACAAACAAUCUCUCUGUUUUUCACUUUUCAAAGCGGUAUCUGUAGUAGUCGUAUGAGUUAUUAACAGUUUUUGUUCCUUUUUUUAUGUUAGACAAUUUUGUCUCACUGAAGGUACAAGCAUAAGUGCACAAAACACAGUUAAAAUAGAAGAGGCUAUAUUACAGCAUGGGUUAGAUUUAUUAAUACAUUUUAUUUUUUUUAAAAAAGAUUUUCUCCACCUAUAGUAAAUAUACAUAUAUAUACACAUAUAUGUGUAUAUAUAUACACACACACAUAUAUAUGUAUAUGUAUGCCUGUAAGUGUUUUUGCCUGGAUGUAUGUCUGUGUGCCACACGCAUGUUCAGUGCCUGUGGAGGGUGGAAGGGGUGUUGGAUGCAGUUACAGUUGGUUAUCUACCACGUGGAUUCUGGGAACUGAACCAGGGCCCCGCAAGUGCUGCUAACUGCUGAGCCAUCUCUCUGGCCCCAUUAUGGCAUUGUCAUACAUAAACAUACUGUGUUCUCAUCACCCUCCCCCCCACCCACUGUCAGUUUAUUCUUCCUAAUUAUCCUCCUUUCCAUGUCCACGGAUUAUUUUUUCUUUUCUCUCUGUGACUCAUUGGUUUUCAUUGUUUCAGAAGUGUGUGCCCCUUGUCAGUGGCGACGCCAUGAAGAAAGUGUUUCUCCCUCCACCAUCAGUCAUUAACUGUGUUACGUCUUCAUGGAGAGUGAGGCCUCACUAGCUCCCUCCCUUUCCACGACAGAGGGUCGACAAAGCCAAUCUUACACAGAUCUUGUUCGGAUAGUCACAGCUGCUGAGUGUUAAAGGUACAGCAGCCAUGGCAUUCCCAGAAGUCAACAUUCCACACCACCAUGAAGCCAUCACCAAGCCACUACCGUGCCACCACCACUUUCUCUGGUUAUUACAUUUUUCCUUCUUCCAUGAUGUUCCCUGAGCUUUGAAGGGGGUGAUACAGAUAUCCCACUUAGGACUGGGCACCGAGUACUUAUCAGGAGACAAUCUCCUCACGGGCUUGUCCCGAUCAUAUGUCAGGUGUGCAAACCAUGACGCCUCGUGACGUUUUUUACUGGCUUCAGAGAAAAUUUGCAUAGUGUAUCCUUUGUUUUUCACUUCCAGUAUCUGCCCCCACAAGUAGCUUUUUACACACUGUUCCAAUCAGUGGACAUGGGACAUCUCCCCACUCACUUAGACUCUGAUUUUUUUUCUCAACAUCUCGUAGUGUUCACCAUGUGAGUUUGGCCCAUGCUCUGUUGAUCUCAUGGCUAAGUGUUUGGCGUUCCUUUGAGCAAGGAAGAGUGGUGUUUAUACCAUUUUACAUUUAGGAAGGGGUUGCUUCCCACUUGUCUGUUAUUGUGUUGAAGCAAAACUGAUUUCCAUGCGUUUCUCUCAUAACCUCACUGAUUAGUUGAGGAUGCAUUUUUGUAGAUAUUUGGGAUUUAGUUCUGUAGAUAAUAAUCAUGCCAUCUAAAAUAAAGACAGUUUGUUCAUUUCUGAUCUAUAGCUGCUUUUUCGUUACUCUCCCUGGUCACACUGCUAAAAGUUACAGCAAUAUAUUUACUGAAAAAAGAGUAGCCAGAGGCAAGAAUGGAGCUCAUCGCUGUAAUCCCAGCACUCGGGAGUCUGAGGCAUGAGAGUUGUCACCAGUUCCAAGCUAGCCUGGGCUAUAUAGUGAAUUCUAGGACAGCCUAGGGCUCCCGAGUGAGACCCUGCCU